GGUCACUGAUCUGCGCUGCUGGAAAGACAGACCCAGAGGAAGUAUUUGUUCCUGAGUCGGGGAAGAGAAUUUUGCAGCUGGGAAAUAAGGAACUCUCUGGUUGAAUGAGGGGAAAAUGGAUUUCUUCAGAACAAUCAUCAAUAGAUGAGGAAACUGAGACAAACACAGUUUAGUGAAUGAUGAACAAGUUAAUAUACUUAAAUGAACUGAGUAUCAAUACUGACAUUCAUUAAUAUUGACAAUGACAGAGUGUAAAAGGAAGUUAGGGUUUAAUGGAAAGAUGGCUCAAAGUUGUUCCUUGGAGAGUGUUUAUGAUGAGGGUAAGCAAAAAGACCUCGAUGAAGAUGAAGAUUUCCUCUUGUUGCCAACAUCUGUUACAAAGGAUAAAGAAAUGGUAAAUUUGAAAAUCAGCAUAUACUUUGUCGAACUGCUACAAAUGGAAACUAGUGAUGGUUGUGGGGGAGGAAGAAGAGACUGA
rnacentral:lncRNA from 1 species